UACAGAGGGGGCAAGCGUUGUUCGGAAUUAUUGGGCGUAAAGAGCUCGUAGGCGGUCUGUCGCGUCUGCUGUGAAAAUCCAGGGCUCAACCCUGGACCUGCAGUGGGUACGGGCAGACUAGAGUGCGGUAGGGGAGAUCGGAAUUCCUGGUGUAGCGGUGAAAUGCGCAGAUAUCAGGAGGAACACCGGUGGCGAAGGCGGAUCUCUGGGCCGUAACUGACGCUGAGGAGCGAAAGCAUGGGGAGCGAACAGG
rnacentral:rRNA from 1 species